rnacentral:rRNA from 1 species
GUUGAACGCUGGCGGCGUGCCUAACACAUGCAAGUCGAACGAUGACCGAUGGAAGCUUGCUUCUAUCCUUCUUAGUGGCGCACGGGUGAGUAACGCGUAAUCAACCUGCUCUUCAGAGGGGGACACCAGUUGGAACCGACUGCUAUUCCCCCAUACGAUCUAAUCUCGGCAUCGAGGAUAGUCGGACGGCUGCCUCUACAUUUAAGCUAUCACUGAAUGAGGGGAUUGCGUCGGAUUAGCUAGUUGGAGGGGUAACGGCCCACCAAGGGGAUGAACAGUAGCCGGGCUGGGAGGAAGGACGGCCACAUUGGGACUGAGACACGGCCCAGACGCCUACGGGAGGCAGCAGGGGGGAAACAUCCGAAAUGGAGGAAAGGCUGACGGAGGAACGCCGGGGGGGAGAUGAAGGGCUUCGGGUUGUAAAGGUACGUUAAUCGGGACGAAAGGCCUUAUUGCGAAUAGUGAGAAGGAUUGACGGUACCGGAAUAGAAAGCAACGGCUAACUACGUG